GGGGGAAGCGCAUAUUGGUGUGUCCUUGUUUCUGCUCUUAAUCUACUGUACUUUAUGGGACAGUUUUUGGCAGCCUUGGCGAUUAAUUAACCGUGACAUUUAAAAUCACGAUUAAUCGUAACACCAUGACAUCAUUACAACCCUACAUGGAGUAGCCGUGUCCCAAAAAAUUA